rnacentral:tRNA from 1 species
UCCCUGCUGGCUCAGACAGUAAAGAACCUGCCUACAAUGCAGGAGACAUGGGUUCAAUCCCUGAGUCGGGAA